rnacentral:misc_RNA from 1 species
AACCAUUCUCACCUGCGGCUAGACCUGCGGAGGGAUCAUUACCGAGUUAGGGUAGUCACACUGCCCGACCCCCCAACCCUGUGUCUACCAUACCUUGUCGUUGCUUCGGCGGACCGGUUGACCAACUGGUCAUGACCGCCGGGGGCUGGCUCUGUCCCCCCUGGAGAGCGUCCGCCGAUGGCCCAACCACAAAACUCUUGUACCGAAACGUGUCGUCUGAAUUAUGUUUGAGAAAUCAAA